rnacentral:rRNA from 1 species
UACGUAGGUGGCAAGCGUUACUCGGAAUCACUAGGCGUAAAGCGCAGGUAGGAGGUUUGGUAAGUCUGUUGUGAAAGCUCCCGGCUCAACUGGGAGAGGUCAACGGAAACUACCAGGCUAGAGUGUGGUAGAGGAAGAUGGAAUUCCCGGUGUAGCGGUGAAAUGCGCAGAUAUCGGGAAGAACACCCGUGGCGAAGGCGGUUCUCUGGGACGGUACUGACGCUGAGACGCGAAAGCGUGGGGAGCGAACAGG